rnacentral:rRNA from 1 species
AACGAACGCUGGCGGCAGGCCUAACACAUGCAAGUCGAGCGGAUCCUUCGGGAUUAGUGGCGGACGGGUGAGUAACGCGUGGGAAUAUGCCCUUCUCUACGGAAUAGCCUCGGGAAACUGGGAGUAAUACCGUAUACGCCCUACGGGGGAAAGAUUUAUCGGAGAAGGAUUAGCCCGCGUUGGAUUAGGUAGUUGGUGGGGUAAUGGCCUACCAAGCCUACGAUCCAUAGCUGGUUUGAGAGGAUGAUCAGCCACACUGGGACUGAGACACGGCCCAGACUCCUACGGGAGGCAGCAGUGGGGAAUCUUAGACAAUGGGGGAAACCCUGAUCUAGCCAUGCCGCGUGAGUGAUGAAGGCCUUAGGGUUGUAAAGCUCUUUCAGCUGGGAAGAUAAUGACGGUACCAGCAGAAGAAGCCCCGGCUAACUCCGUGCCAGCCGCCGCGGUAACAC